rnacentral:rRNA from 1 species
UCGUAACAAGGUCUCCGUANGUGAACCUGCGGAGGGAUCAUUACAAGAACGCCCGGGCUUCGGCCUGGUUAUUCAUAACCCUUUGUUGUCCGACUCUGUUGCCUCCGGGGCGACCCUGCCUUCGGGCGGGGGCUCCGGGUGGACACUUCAAACUCUUGCGUAACUUUGCAGUCUGAGUAAACUUAAUUAAUAAAUUAAAACUUUUAACAACGGAUCUCUUGGUUCUGGCAUCGAUGAAGAACACAGCGAAAUGCGAUAAGUAAUGUGAAUUGCAGAAUUCAGUGAAUCAUCGAAUCUUUGAACGCACAUUGCGCCCCCUGGUAUUCCGGGGGGCAUGCCUGUUCGAGCGUCAUUUCACCACUCAAGCCUCGCUUGGUAUUGGGCAACGCGGUCCGCCGCGUGCCUCAAAUCGUCCGGCUGGGUCUUCUGUCCCCUAAGCGUUGUGGAAACUAUUCGCUAAAGGGUGUUCGGGAGGCUACGCCGUAAAACAACCCCAUUUCUAAGGUUGACCUCGGAUCAGGUAGGGAUACCCGCUGAACUUAAGCAUAUCA